GAUGAACGCUGGCGGCGUGCCUAAUACAUGCAAGUCGAGCGAACAGACGAUGCGCUUGCUCCUCUGACGUUAGCGGCGGACGGGUGAGUAACACGUGUAUAACCUACCUAUAAGACUGAGAUCACUUCGGGAAACCGGAUCUAACACCGGAUAAUCUCUUGAACCACAUGGGGCAAUGGAGAAAGACGGCUGUUCUGGAUCUACUCGCGGCUUACGGGCUGCAUUAGCUAGUAGGUAAGUUAACGGCUUACCAAGGCUACGAGGCGUAGCCGAACGGAGGGGGUGAUCGGCCACAUGGGAACUGAGACACGGUCAAGACGCCUACGGGAGGCAGCAGUAGGGAACGUUCGGCAAUGGGCGAAAGCAUGACGCAGCAAGGCGGCGUGAGUGAUGAAGGUCUUCGGAUCGUAAAGCUCUGUUAUUAGGGAAGAACAACUGUGUAAUUAAAUAUGGCGGUCUUGACGGUACCUAAUCAGAAAGCCACGGCUAACUACGUG
rnacentral:rRNA from 1 species